GACGAACGCUGGCGGCAGGCUUAACACAUGCAAGUCGAGCGAGCCGAGCGCGGGUGAGUAAUGUCGGGGACACUGCCUGAUGGAGGGGGAAAACCACUGGAAAGGGUAGCAAAUCCCGCAUACCAUCAGGUGUGCCUAGAUGGGUUUAGCUGGUUGGUGGGGUAAUGGCUCCCCUAGGCGACGCUCCCUCGCUGGUCUGAGAGGAGGACCAGCAACACUGGAACUGAGACACGGUCCAGACUCCUACGUGAGGCAGCAGUGGGGAAUAUUGCACAAUGGGCUCAAGCCGGAUGCAGCCAUGCCGCGUGUGUGAAGAAGGCCUUAGGGUUGUAAAGCACUUUCAGCGAGGAGGCGUUACGCGCAGAAGAAGCACCGGCUAACUCCGUGCCAGCAGCCGCGGUAAUAC
rnacentral:rRNA from 1 species